GGGGCGGUAGCUCAGCUGGGAGAGCAUCUGCAUGGCAUGCAGAAGGUCCAGGGUUCGAGCCCCUGUCGCUCCACCA
rnacentral:tRNA from 1 species